GACUGCCACUGGGGCAGGAUCUCUUUCUGGAGAUCCCUUCUCUGUGGAGUCUUUCCUGCAAAACUAGAUCUUUGGAUACAGGUGGUGAUCUGCUGCCAGAAUAAAUAAAUUUCAGGAAGUGCCAAGGCUGCUUAGCCAUUUACUGUGAUAUCACUCCUAUGUAAGGAACUUGUAUCACCAACUUUCUUCAAGUAUCUCCUCUAUUAUGGUACAAUAGAGUGCAGAAUAAUUCUGCUGAAGACAACACUAUUACUGCAGGAGAAAAGCUAAGCUUGGCUCAUGAAGAGCAGAGAUCUUUCCUAUUUUCCCUUAUGGAAACUGUCAUUCACAAGAAGACACGGAGGGAAAAGGAACAACGUUAAGGAAAAAAGAAGGUAUAGGAGUGGGAGGCUGCCAUGGUGAUGACCAACCUUCCACUGCUUUAAGUCCUUAAGUGUAUUACAUUCUAUAUUCUGGAUUUAAUUAUGGUGCUGGAGUGUAAUGCUAAUAACACUGCACAGUUUUAUCUUCUCUCUCUGUCUGAUGUACAUCUAAUUAAAAUAGGCAUUAAUUAAUAUGUGCUGAACUUUAGGUGAUUAAAGUAUUAUAAAUAAUAUAUUAUAAUUUAUAGCACAUGCAUCAUUGUAAAACAGUUUAAAUUAAUGUCACCAACUAAGAUGUGACAAUUCUUGAAUGCAUUGCCUGGCAGGGAGCAGAGCAGUGUAAAGUGACUCCCCACAUCUCCAUGUCCCAGCACUCAGUAAGAGGUCAGUUUAGCUGCCAGUCCCUGGGCUUCUUUCUCAAGCCAUCUGCUCUAUAUAAGAUGCAGGUUUUGACCAGGACGUUUUUUAUGUCUUUGUGCUUUUAGUUCUCUAAUUAUCCCACAGCAUCAAUGUCCUUUUGUUGCGGGUGAUACAUGGGAGAUAAUUGAAUAUUGAAAUCGUUUUUAUUAACUUUCACAGGAGGCUUAUGUAAGUUUUAUCUUUGCAUCCAUAUAAUAGUUAUGAUUAAGGAUGUACACCGUCAGCGAACUAGAUCUCUUGGUCUUGAGUACCUAUUUAGAGGAUAAAUCAAAUGGGCACUAAAUAUGCUUGUGAAUAGAAUAUGUUAGUACUAGGUCUAUGCAAGAGCCAAGGCUACCUUGCUGCUAAAUAGGGAAAGUCAUGUUCAAAGCAGACAGACGUUUAAAUGAUCAGCACAGUGGUGCUACCCUAACAUACAUCUCUGGGAUGACAAUGUCUUCUCUUUCACACUCCUGCUGAGAGGAUGAGACCUCCAUGCCAGGAGUAAUCUCCUUCAGAUCUCCUUCAGGUGAAUUAUUAUACCGGACACUCGUUUAGCUUUCAAGGAAAGGGUUAAAGAUAUACUUUUCAAAACGACUUAUCUGUUCCGGCCUUCCACUCCCAUCCCCUCCAUACACACAGUAAAAGCUUCCUGUUAUAGAAAGGACUCAAAUCAAACACACUGGCUACUCAGUUUUGUGAAUCUACGUCCAGUUUUCUGACCUACUAUUUGGUAGCGAUUCCUUCUUAGAAUCACCAUGGCAGCAAUACUUAACUCAUUCUGGUAAAAAUAAAUAAUAAUAAUAAAAAGGUUUUUAGGCACUUUGUCUAUGAAGCGCCAUGCCAGUAGAAAAAGAAGAUAAAUUUUGUAAUUUAUUUCAUGACAACACAAUAUUGGAAGCCUGCAAUCAGUGGGAAGUAAAAACCUUCAAAAAUAAAGCUACUAGGUGAUAAGUUAGAAUUACUGGUUGUCACAUCUAUCCACUGCUUUUAUCCAUAACUGUUCUUUUCCCUGUGUAAAAGUAUGGCUUUAUUAGAGUACACUGGGGCCCUUUAGACAGCAUAAAGACCUCAGGGUUCCCAAGUUAAUGACUGGUAUUAAUUACCACCAAUAUACAAAUUUCCAAAAUCACAUACCAGUUGCUGUGUUUUAUCUGAGGUAUAUGUAAAAUUCCAGUCUCUUACCUCGGCUUCAUGUACCAAGAGUUCCUCUAGGACAAGGCCACUUACAGGUGCCUUGGAUAGAUGGAUCUGUUUGGCUGCUAAAAGUUUUUGCAGUAAA